UGGGGAAUAUUGCACAAUGGGCGCAAGCCUGAUGCAGCCAUGCCGCGUGUAUGAAGAAGGCCUUCGGGUUGUAAAGUACUUUCAGUCGGGAGGAAGGUGGUAAGGUUAAUAACCUUAUCAAUUGACGUUACCGACAGAAGAAGCACCGGCUAACUCCGUGCCAGCAGCCGCGGUAAUACGGAGGGUGCAAGCGUUAAUCGGAAUUACUGGGCGUAAAGCGCACGCAGGCGGUCUGUCAAGUCGGAUGUGAAAUCCCCGGGCUCAACCUGGGAACUGCAUCUGAUACUGGCAAGCUUGAGUCUCGUAGAGGGGGGUAGAAUUCCAGGUGUAGCGGUGAAAUGCGUAGAGAUCUGGAGGAAUACCGGUGGCGAAGGCGGCCCCCUGGACGAAGACUGACGCUCAGGUGCGAAAGCGUGGGGAGCAAACAGG
rnacentral:rRNA from 1 species